GACGAACGCUGGCGGCGUGCUUAACACAUGCAAGUCGAACGGAAAGGCCCUGCUUUUGUGGGGUGCUCGAGUGGCGAACGGGUGAGUAACACGUGAGUAACCUGCCCUUGACUUUGGGAUAACUUCAGGAAACUGGGGCUAAUACCGGAUAGGAGCUCCUGCUGCAUGGUGGGGGUUGGAAAGUUUCGGCGGUUGGGGAUGGACUCGCGGCUUAUCAGCUUGUUGGUGGGGUAGUGGCUUACCAAGGCUUUGACGGGUAGCCGGCCUGAGAGGGUGACCGGCCACAUUGGGACUGAGAUACGACCCAGACUCGUACGGGAGGCAGCAGUGGGGAAUAGUGCACAAUGGGCGGAAGCCUGAUGUGACAAAGCCGCGUCGGGGAUGACGGCAUUCGGGUUGUAAACCGCAUUCGCCUGUGACGAAGCGUGAGUGACGGUAAUGGGUAAAGAAGCACCGGCUAACUACGUG
rnacentral:rRNA from 1 species